CCCCGUAAUUUUAUACAUUUCAUUUAUAUAUUUUACCGUAUAUUUAAUAUAUUUAAAUAAGAAUUUAUGAAUUUUGGAAAUAAAUAUAUAAUUAACAUAUAUUUAUUUAUUACAUAUUAAUAUUUUCAACGAUUUACGAAAUCGAAAAUGAUUUUAGAAUUUUAAGUAGAAAAGAAUUUGAAUUACGAAAAUUGAUUGAAUUUAGAAAACGAUCCUAUUCAGUUUUGGAUUCGAAUCAUAAAAGCUAAAUCCUAAUUCUAGCCCACUUGGGAAAGCCCAAUAUUAAAACCCAAAACUCAAACCCUCCCUUUACUCUAAUUCACGUAAAACAAAAAUAAAAAAAUAAACAAAGCCAAAACCCCAUUUGAACUUCACAUGAAAACGCAAAAGAGAAAAAAAAAAAGAAGCAAAACCUAUCUCUCAUUCAAACUCACGUAAACUAGCAAACCCUCAAACCUUGGUACUCUCUGCCCAGCCGCCAGCCACCAUACACCCGCCGGACCUCCACCGUCCUCGUCACAGCCGCCCCAGCCGCCGACCACCUACCGCCGCCGCGACCGCCAGCUGCACGGUAACCUUCUUCUUCUCCUUCGUUCUUCUUCCUUUCUCUUUCGUUCGUUUCUUGCAGCUUCGCUACCCUUCUCACGAUCUUUUUCGCUCUUGCUCUCCUCGCUCGUUUUGGUUUUUGCGCAGCAGCAACCGAGUCGCGCCACCCUCUCCUUGCUGUCGCCGAGCAGUGCUGCCGCCUCCGGCCGCGCCUCACCGCCUGCCACCGUCGUCCUCUCUCGUCGGCGGAGAAUUCUCCUUAGGCGACUUUUGAAUUAUUAAAGUGGUCUUGCAGUUUGUUUACACAAGUCUCUAAGGAUCAAUAAGCGUUGCCCAUCUACAGGUUUGAAGAUGAUGCAUCAUUGGGAUCGGGAUUAGAGAGCUUGUAGUUAUAUUUGUUUUAUUAAGUGAUUUGGGUUGUUAACUUAUAUUUGAAAGUUGUCGUACUAUUCGUAUUUCCUUAUUUCCGUUAAUUGGUUUUGGACUUAGUAUGUAAUCGAUUAUUUAUGAACCUAAAAGUUAGUUUUAUGUUUUCCGCUGCAAAAUUCUGAAUAAGCCGUACGUUUUCACACGGGCGAUAAUGCCUUGAUAAUUCUCUAUAGUUAUAUUUAUAAAAGGGUUGUUUUAGAAAAAGGGAAUUGUCGGGGUGUUACAAAGUGGUAUCUAGAAGCUAAGGUUUUACUUAACAAUUUUUUAGGCGCCUAACUAUCUAGUUAUUUAAAAUAAACUUCUUAAAAAUCGAGCUUCUACGUAUUAUAGUGUUCAAAAAUUGGUACUUUUUUUUUCGGGGGCCGAUUUCCUUUUAUCUUGUUUGAAAGUAUAUAAUAUUUCUUAUUUAAGUUCAGAAUUAACUUAUUUAUUCGAAACUUUUCGUUUAUGUGAAUUAAGUACGUUUUUCGUUAUUUUCGAAAUUAAAUUAAAUAUA